rnacentral:rRNA from 1 species
AGAAUCAACGCUGGCGGCGUGCCUAACACAUGCAAGUCGAACGCGAAAGCCCCGCAAGGGGUAAGUAGAGUGGCAAACGGGUGAGUAACGCGUGGGUGACCUGCCUUCGAGCGGGGGAUAACGUUUCGAAAGGAACGCUAAUACCGCAUAACAUCCUGCCUUUGAAGAGGUGGAGAUCAAAGCUGGGGAUCGCAAGACCCGGCACUUGAAGAGGGGCCCGCGUCUGAUUAGCUAGUUGGUGGGUAACGGCCUACCAAGGCUUCGAUCAGUA